CACGAUUUCAAGACGGGAUUAAAAAACGCUCUCUGCCCUAAAAUGAACGGAGAACGGAUGAGCAGGAAGAAGACUCGUUCCCAACAGCUCCCAGAGAAGCCUGAGUUGAAUCAGGACGUCAGUUUGAUCUGAUUGAGUCAAUUUAGGAUUUAGUGCCUUGCCCAAAGGUCACUAUAGCAUGCUGACUGCGAGCGGGGAUCGAACCACCGACCUGCCGGUUCGCGGACGACCUCUCGACCGCUCCUGAGCCACAGCUCUGACGAUGACCGUACAAUCCCACCACACUGAGCACGCCGGAUCUCGUCCAGUCACAGAAACUGUGCCGUGAGCUUGCAGAUCAGCAGGGACUUAUCUGGGACAUCCUGCUGAGAGGGACAAACCUCCCCCCCCAAUCGCCAAAGCUCAAGGUCUUCCAGCACAAUGUAUGACUCUAAUCCCCGGCUGGCCUGAGAGAGAGAAGAGGCCAGCAGAGGGAUGUGUUUGUCUAUCCUUGACUACUUGUCUCUCUCUCAACAUUGGACCUUGCGAGAUCUCGGCUAUUGAUUCGAUCUGCAAAUGUUGUGGCUGCAGCUGCUCAGCGCGAGUGACCUUGAGAUCCAAGAGUUGAUCGCUGCAGAUCUGGAAGAGACGGCCGCUCGUAGUGUGUGUGUGUGUGAGCGCGACUUUCCCAUGAUGCGCACGUGACCGUCGACCUGGAGGCUGUUGUGCAGAGGAGACGCCCCUGGGGGCCGCGCCCAUGCGUGAGUGCACAACCUGUUCUGCACGGGAACAUUACAGAACAUCUGCACUGCGGCGCAG